rnacentral:rRNA from 1 species
AGAGUUUGAUCAUGGCUCAGAAUGAACGUUGGCGGCGUGGAUUAGGCAUGCAAGUCGUGCGACAAGCCUCCUUCGGGAGGUGGAGGAGCGGCGAAAGGGAGAGUAACGCGUAGAUACCUGCCCCCAGGCCCGGGAUAGCGGUGGGAAACUGCCGGUAAUACCGGAUAAUGUCUCCGGACCAAAGGUGGGAUUCCGCCUGGGGAUGGGUCUGCGUCCUACUAGCUUGUUGGUGGGGUAAUGGCCUACCAAGGCGAAGAUGGGUAGCGGGUGUGAGAGCAUGGCCCGCCUCACUGGGACUGAGACACUGCCCAGACACCUACGGGUGGCUGCAGUCGAGAAUCUUCCGCAAUGGGCGCAAGCCUGACGGAGCGACGCCGCGUGCGGGAUGAAGGCCUUCGGGUUGUAAACCGCUGUCAGCGGGGAGGAAAUGCAUGGGGGUUCUCCCCCAUGUUGACCGAUCCGCAGAG